GGACGAACAGACAUGUAGUUGUAACCAGACAAGUUGGACACACAGGAACAGAGGGGUUGAGGGUCCUGCUCAAUGAGCUUACAUGCUAGAGGGAGUGGGGUAAAAUGACACAAAAAGGUAAGGGUAGUAUUAGACUAAUGACAGUUGCAGAAGAGGAAUCAGUCAGGAGCUAUUAACAGUUUAAUUGAUACGCUUUUAUGAAGAAGUGGGUUUUUAACGAUUUUUUUAAGGAGUGGAGACUGGGUGAGCAUCUAACGGAGGAGGGAAGCGAGUUCCACAGAAAUCUUGAAGGCGAGCAUCAGCGGUGGGAGUACGGACAGAAGAUAGACGUAAGUCUUCAGCAGAUCGUAAGGGCCUAGACG